ensembl:misc_RNA 7SK 7SK RNA
CAAUGUGAGGGCUAUCUGGCUGUGACAUCUGUCACCCGAAUGAUGAUAGGGUUGAAGCCAAUCUUGCUGCCUAGGCAGGUGUCCCCUUCCUCACUCAGCACUCCAUGUGUGUCCCACCAGAAGCUGCAUGCUGGGUCAACAGGGAAUGACCGUUUCGCAGGUUAGGGGCACAGAAGUAGCUCGCUCCCCUGCUGGAACCUCCAAACAAGUGUUCAAAGUCCAUUUUAAAAUGACUAAACUAACCACUAGUAGGAAGCUUUACUUUGACUAAAAGUUUAAACAAAAAU